GCUGGCGUGGCUCAACGGUAGAGCGGGCGCUUUGUAAGCGUCAGGUUGCAGGUUCGAUUCCUGUCGCCAGCUCCA
rnacentral:tRNA from 1 species